rnacentral:rRNA from 1 species
AGUGAACGCUGGCGGUAGGCCUAACACAUGCAAGUCGAACGGCAGCACAGUAAGAGCUUGCUCUUACGGGUGGCGAGUGGCGGAUGGGUGAGGAAUACAUCGGAAUCUACUUUUUCGAGGGGGAUAACGUAGGGAAACUUACGCUAAUACCGCAUACGACCUACGGGUGAAAGCAGGGGAUCUUCGGACCUUGCGCGAUUGAAUGAGCCGAUGUCGGAUUAGCUAGUUGGCGGGGUAAAGGCCCACCAAGGCGACGAUCCGCAGCUGGUCUGAGAGGAUGAUCAGCCACACUGGAACUGAGACACGGUCCAGACUCCUACGGGAGGCAGCAGUGGGGAAUAUUGGACAAUGGGCGCAAGCCUGAUCCAGCCAUGCCGCGUGGGUGAAGAAGGCCUUCGGGUUGUAAAGCCCUUUUGUUGGGAAAGAAGAGCAGCAGGUUAAUACCCCGCUGUUCUGACGGUACCCAAAGAAUAAGCACCGGCUAACUUCGUG